AUAAUUACAUCACGUAGGGGAUACCGUGAUCAUGAAGGCGGCUCCCCCAGAGUGAGGCUUAAUCAUUGCACUGGCGAUUAAGUGUUUCCUCUGCGACUAUUCUAAAGAUGAAUAUUGCGUGCGUAUAAUUUUUGGUAGCCGGGAAUGGCGUGCGCGCCUUCCCGAU
rfam:Stomoxys calcitrans breed 8C7A2A5H3J4 unplaced genomic scaffold Scaffold945, whole genome shotgun sequence.